GUGGGGAAUUUUGGACAAUGGGCGCAAGCCUGAUCCAGCAAUGUCGCGUGCAGGAAGAAGGCCUUCGGGUUGUAAACUGCUUUUGUACGGAACGAAACGGUCCGGGUUAAUACCCUGGGCUAAUGACGGUACCGUAAGAAUAAGCACCGGCUAACUACGUGCCAGCAGCCGCGGUAAUACGUAGGGUGCAAGCGUUAAUCGGAAUUACUGGGCGUAAAGCGUGCGCAGGCGGUUUUGUAAGACAGGCGUGAAAUCCCCGGGCUCAACCUGGGAAUUGCGCUUGUGACUGCAAGGCUGGAGUGCGGCAGAGGGGGAUGGAAUUCCGCGUGUAGCAGUGAAAUGCGUAGAUAUGCGGAGGAACACCGAUGGCGAAGGCAAUCCCCUGGGCCUGCACUGACGCUCAUGCACGAAAGCGUGGGGAGCAAACAGGAUUAGAUACCCUAGUAGUCC
rnacentral:rRNA from 1 species